AUGGUUAACACAAAAUUUAUGUUCUGUUGCUGGAAUGUACAGGGUCUUGGCCAAACACAGAAAUGUUCGGACGUUCUCGCAGAACUAAUUUUCGUCAAAUGACAUGCAUGUUUCCUUCAGGAAACAAAACUAAACUCUCCCUCAAAAAAUCGAUCCUUCAUCCCUGCUCAUCUUGACAUAUCUCAUCACAAAGAUGUGGAUGGCACAUCAGGGGGGAUGAUGGCCUCCUGCUCCUCUUCACUGUUCUCUGCGGUCACAUACACCCAAUCCCGUUUCUCUCAAACAAUUUCCUUCUCAUCAUUAGCUUCACCACUCCCACUAACAAUCACCAAUGUUUACGCCCCAACAGACCACUUUCUUAAGUUGGAUUUCCUCUCGGAACUUGAGGCGGCGGCCCCCGGCCAAAAGAUGCCCUGGAUGAUCUACGGAGACUUCAAUCUAAUGAGAUAUGCCUCGGACAAAAACAAUGACUCCUUCUGACAAAGUGAGGCAGAUCUUUUCAACCAAUGGAUUCAUAACCUGGCCCUCAUUGAGCUACCUCUCCUUGAUAGGAGAUACACCUGGUCCAAUAAACGGGAUAAGCCGACCUUAGAACUCCUUGACCGUGUCUUUGUAAAUGACUCUUGGGAUCGGACCUUUCCCGAGUCCUCAAUCUCGAGCCUCACACGCUAUGUCUCCGUCCAUGUGCCCCUAAUCAUCUCGAUUAGCACCUGCUUCCCCCGCACCGCCUUCUUUAGAUUUGAACUUGGCUGGGCCGAAAACCUGGCUUGUAGGCCGGUUAUUGCCUCCUCCUGGGCAUCGGCUCCACGCCGUCCUUCGGCACCCCUCACGAUCGCACGGGCCCUAAAAAAAUGUCGCCUUGCCCUUCGAGUAUGGCGUAAAAGUGUAAUCCCUCUGAACACCCGCGAGACAAACUGCAGGUUAACGAUAAAUCUCCUCGAUUAG
rnacentral:rRNA from 1 species